rnacentral:rRNA from 1 species
ACCAUGGGCAUGUAAAGUGAAUGUAAAGUCCACUGGAAUGUGGCAGCGCUUCGGCGUUCUUUGGGUCAGAGAGGGUGAAAACCCCGUUUACAUUCAUUUAUGUGUCUGUUGUGUGGGCGUGUUAAAGAGUCGGAUUGUUUGGGAAUGCAAUCCAAAACGGGUGGUAAAUUCCAUCCAAGACUAAAUAUUAUCAAGAGACCGAUAUGGAACGAGAGCCGUGAGGAAAUGAU